ensembl:lncRNA
UUGCAAGCAAGGGUAAGACGAAGAAAGUAUAUUUCCAAACAUGGAAAGACCGGACUACUGCCUUAUAAUCUGCGUGAAUGGCAAGAUUUAGAAGUGCGUUCCAUUCACAUGACUACAAUCAGUAAGGCGUACUAAAUCCUAUCAGGAUGGUUUCCAGAACUACUGGAGUGUUCCUGGGUGCUUAUUUACUGUACUUGCCAAGUACAAAUAGCAAAGUCAUCACCUUGUGACCGUGACCCCAUGUGAGUACCCUGUAAAAGUACCCCGCUAUGUCACAUUCAUCCUCUUUCCAAUUCUCAUCUUGCCAAGGAGUUAAGGAUAUAAG